rnacentral:rRNA from 1 species
GCAGCCUGAUCCAGCCAUGCCGCGUGCAGGAUGACGGUCCUAUGGAUUGUAAACUGCUUUUAUACGAGAAGAAACACUGCUUCGUGAAGCAGCUUGACGGUAUCGUAAGAAUAAGGAUCGGCUAACUCCGUGCCAGCAGCCGCGGUAAUACGGAGGAUCCAAGCGUUAUCCGGAAUCAUUGGGUUUAAAGGGUCCGUAGGCGGUUUGGUAAGUCAGUGGUGAAAGCCCAUCGCUCAACGGUGGAACGGCCAUUGAUACUGCCAGACUUGAAUUAUUAGGAAGUAACUAGAAUAUGUAGUGUAGCGGUGAAAUGCUUAGAGAUUACAUGGAAUACCAAUUGCGAAGGCAGGUUACUACUAAUGGAUUGACGCUGAUGGACGAAAGCGUGGGUAGCGAACAGGAUUAGAUACCCUGGUAGUCCACGCCGUAAACGAUGGAUACUAGCUGUUGGAAGCAAUUUCAGUGGCUAAGCGAAAGUGAUAAGUAUCCCACCUGGGGAGUACGUUCGCAAGAAUGAAACUCAAAGGAAUUGACGGGGGCCCGCACAAGCGGUGGAGCAUGUGGUUUAAUUCGAUGAUACGCGAGGAACCUUACCAAGGCUUAAAUGUAGAUUGACCGGUUUGGAAACAGAUCUUUC